rnacentral:rRNA from 1 species
GCUUAUGGCCAUACCAGCCUGAAUGCGCCCGAUCUCGUCUGAUCUCGGAAGCUAGGCAGGGUCGGGCCUGGUUAGUACUUGGAUGGGAGACCGCCUGGGAAUACCAGGUGCUGUAAGCU